rnacentral:rRNA from 1 species
AAAAGAAGAUCAAGAAGAGCUUCAGAAUGAAGCUUUCUUGAUGGAGGGGAGCGGCAGACGGGUGAGUAACGCGUGGGAACGUACCCUUUGCUACGGAAUAGCUCCGGGAAACUGGAAUUAAUACCGUAUGUGCCCUACGGGGGAAAGAUUUAUCGGCAAAGGAUCGGCCCGCGUUGGAUUAGCUAGUUGGUGGGGUAAUGGCCUACCAAGGCGACGAUCCAUAGCUGGUCUGAGAGGAUGAUCAGCCACAUUGGGACUGAGACACGGCCCAAACUCCUACGGGAGGCGGCAGUGGGGAAUAUUGGACAAUGGGCGCAAGCCUGAUCCAGCCAUGCCGCGUGAGUGAUGAAGGCCUUAGGGUUGUAAAGCUCUUUCACCGGAGAAGAUAAUGACGGUAUCCGGAGAAGAAGCCCCGGCUAACUUCGUGCCAGCAGCCGCAGUAAUAC